rnacentral:rRNA from 1 species
ACGGGAGGCAGCAGUGAGGAAUAUUGGUCAAUGGGCGUAAGCCUGAACCAGCCAAGUAGCGUGGAGGAUGACGGCCCUACGGGUUGUAAACUCCUUUUGCCGGGGGAUAAAAAACGGGACGCGUCCCGUCUUGCAGGUACCCUAUGAAUAAGCAUCGGCUAACUCCGUGCCAGCAGCCGCGGUAAUACGGAGGAUGCGAGCGUUAUCCGGAUUUAUUGGGUUUAAAGGGUGCGCAGGCGGCACGUUAAGUCAGCGGUGAAAUGCAGGGGCUCAACCCCGGCACUGCCGUUGAAACUGGCGAGCUCGAGUACGGAUGAAGUCGGCGGAAUGUGAUGUGUAGCGGUGAAAUGCUUAGAUAUGUCACAGAACACCGAUUGCGAAGGCAGCUGACUAAUCCGCAACUGACGCUCAGGCACGAAAGCGUGGGGAUCGAACAGGAUUAGAUACCCUGGUA